rnacentral:misc_RNA from 1 species
AAAAAAAAAAGAGAUGUUGCUUGUGGCUGCGGAGCUGGGACAUUGCGAUUUGCGAUAGCUGAUUGGUGAGGGAUUACCGGAUUGACAACAUGCAGAGCUACGGGAUUGCCAUGUUUGUAAGGUAGGGCGAUGGGCAAAUUAGAACGAAUGAAGGAAAAGAAGAGAUGGGGAGGUAGGGCGAUGCGAUGGUGGUGGUUGGCAGAGGAGAAGGAUCAAAGGUUUGAAAAUAGAGUGGUUACUAGUGAGGUAGGGGCGUCGGAUGGCAAAAG